UACGUAGGGGGCUAGCGUUGUCCGGAUUUAUUGGGCGUAAAGAGCGUGUAGGCGGUUUGUCGCGUCUUGCUGUGAAAUUUCGGGGCUCAACCCCGAACUUGCAGUGGGUACGGGCAGACUAGAGUGUGGUAGGGGAGACUGGAAUUCCUGGUGUAGCGGUGAAAUGCGCAGAUAUCAGGAGGAACACCGAUGGCGAAGGCAGGUCUCUGGGCCAUAACUGACGCUGAGAAGCGAAAGCAUGGGGAGCGAACAGG
rnacentral:rRNA from 1 species